rnacentral:rRNA from 1 species
UACGUAGGGUGCAAGCGUUGUCCGGAUUUAUUGGGUUUAAAGGGUGCGUAGGCGGAAGCUUAAGUCUUGGGUGAAAUCCCACCGCUCAACGGUGGAACUGCCUGAGAAACUGGGUUUCUUGAGUAUAGUUGAGGUAGCUGGAAUUGGUGGUGUAGCGGUGAAAUGCAUAGAUACCACCAGGAACACCUAUUGCGAAGGCAGGCUACUAAGCUAUAACUGACGCUGAGGCACGAAAGCGUGGGGAGCGAACAGG